AGAGAGUUGGAGUGGAGGUGAGAUUUGUGAUCGGGAAAGCCCUUGACUCCCUCCUUCUCCGCCUUCCGCCUCUCUCUGAUUAGUUCCUAUCCAGCAGCAGAUUGAAGCAGGAGAUGAUUCUUCUCAAGGAUGAAGAGCAAGUGAAAGGCAAGCCACAGAAGAAUAACUUGACUAUAUAUGUAUAUUUUGUACAUACAUUUGUGGAUAAAUGUAUCUUAAAAGAUGCUAUUGUUUUAUGUUUCCUCUUCAGCCACUGGCUGUGAUUUUAAUUGUGCUGGAGGAUCUUCAUUAGUAUUAACACAUGGGGAGAUUUCACAAAGCUGCUUCAUUAGGGGGGGAAAAAAAGCUUGGCAGACUAGGUCUUUUUGCAUGCACUGAGAAUGUCAGCCUUACCUCGGUCAUUUGUAACAUAAUAAGUGCAAGUACAAUGAUUGCAAUGCAGGAGCACUGGGGGAAGGGCAGAAAUACUGCCUGCCUAAUAGGGAUAUCUGAAAAAAAGGCUGCUCAUUACACAGUAAAAUGUAUGCUAAAAAUUAGUGAAGAUGAUGUCUCAGGAGACUGAUGCUAAAUAAAUUAAUGUGCUGAUAUGUUUUUAAUUAUUAUUUUUGUAGUAGUUUAUUUCGUUCUCAGGAUUCACAUUGAGCAGCAAAGCUGCGCUAGCACUUAUUGAUUUUUUUUCCUUGCCACAUUCCCGGAAUACAGAUUUUAAUCAUUUCACUACACCACACUCAGUAAUUUCAUUAAAAACUGGAACCUUCCAUCCCCAGAAAAGCAUUUAAUUUCAAUGACAUACAAUUUCUCUCCUAGCAGAAAACUGUCUUUACAGUAAAAGCUGGCCUAAGGUUCAAAUGCAUAAUUUAAUCCUGAGUUUUCCAUGCUCUGCAUUCCUUUGAAGCUAUAAUUUGAGUAACUACCUAAUAACUGUAAUAAGGACAAUAAUUUCCUUAUAAUAUAUUAUUAACUCAUAUUUAAUUAACUCAGAGGCCAAGCUCUGUACAUGUAUGACUGGGUCAAGAGUUCUGCAAUCUCAAAAUUCACCAAUAAUGUUCCAGAAGAAAAAUAUAGAUUAAAAUAUAAGUGUGAAUGCUAGCAUUUAGAUAUUCCAGCCAAAAUAAUUAACAAAAAAAGUUCAUGAGUUUUAAAUAAUAGCGGUCAUUACUCAAACAGUAUUUUAAAACAUUUGGAAAUAAACAAGGCAACUCACUGAUAUUUCUAUAGAUAAAGAAUUAUUAAUAUUUCAACAAUCCAUUUCUGACAAUUUAAUCACUAGCAUUACUUUUAAGAAAGCAUUCAAUUUUGAAAAGAUUUUUUUAAAAAGGGCUAGAUUCAAGUUGCCUCAAUUUUUAUACGGAAUUCUCUCUUGAAAUAAAGUUAAAUGCACACUUGAGUAAUUUGGAAAACUAAGGAUACUUAAAUACUUCAAAUACAGCAAAAUAAGUUUCAAUUUUAGGUUCCAGUAAUACUUUGAAAUGAUAUUGAGUUGAAGAUGGUACUUUGUUUAUUCGAACACUAGGUUUCAUAAAGAUAUGUAAUUUAUAUUGCCUGUUUUUAGAGAAGAAACCUGUGGGAAAAACAUUUGACAUAAUAAAAUUCACUUAUUAAAUUUUGAAUAUAUACCUAAUCAACAGAAAACACUGGGUACAUUGGUAAUAAAAGUGUUUAACUUAUAUAAAAACUUAUAUAAAAAUAAAAACUCAUAUUAAAAAUUCCUA